AGUGAACGCUGGCGGUAGGCCUAACACAUGCAAGUCGAACGGCAGCACAGUAAGAGCUUGCUCUUACGGGUGGCGAGUGGCGGACGGGUGAGGAAUACAUCGGAAUCUACUUUUUCGUGGGGGAUAACGUAGGGAAACUUACGCUAAUACCGCAUACGACCUACGGGUGAAAGCAUGGGAUCUUCGGACCUUGCGCUAUUGAAUGAGCCGAUGUCGGAUUAGCUAGUUGGCGGGGUAAAGGCCCACCAAGGCGACGAUCCGUAGCUGGUCUGAGAGGAUGAUCAGCCACACUGGAACUGAGACACGGUCCAGACUCCUACGGGAGGCAGCAGUGGGGAAUAUUGGACAAUGGGCGCAAGCCUGAUCCAGCCAUACCGCGUGGGUGAAGAAGGCCUUCGGGUUGUAAAGCCCUUUUGUUGGGAAAGAAAAGCAGCAGGUUAAUACCCCGCUGUUCUGACGGUACCCAAAGAAUAAGCACCGGCUAACUUCGUG
rnacentral:rRNA from 1 species